rnacentral:rRNA from 1 species
UACGUAGGGACCGAGCGUUGUCCGGAAUCAUUGGGCGUAAAGAGCGUGUAGGCGGCCACUUAAGUCCUGCGUGAAAUCUUGCGGCUCAACCGCAAGCGGUCGUGGGAAACUGGGUGGCUAGAGUGCGGGAGAGGAGAGUGGAAUUCCUGGUGUAGCGGUGGAAUGCGCAGAUAUCAGGAGGAACACCUGUGGUGUAGACAGCUUACUGGACCAUUUCUGACGCUGAGACACGAAAGCGUGGGUAGCAAACAGG